GACGAACGCUGGCGGCGUGCCUAAUACAUGCAAGUAGAACGCUGAAGGAGGAGCUUGCUUCUCUGGAUGAGUUGCGAACGGGUGAGUAACGCGUAGGUAACCUGCCUGGUAGCGGGGGAUAACUAUUGGAAACGAUAGCUAAUACCGCAUAAGAGUAGAUGUUGCAUGACAUUUGCUUAAAAGGUGCAAUUGCAUCACUACCAGAUGGACCUGCGUUGUAUUAGCUAGUUGGUGGGGUAACGGCUCACCAAGGCGACGAUACAUAGCCGACCUGAGAGGGUGAUCGGCCACACUGGGACUGAGACACGGCCCAGACUCCUACGGGAGGCAGCAGUAGGGAAUCUUCGGCAAUGGACGGAAGUCUGACCGAGCAACGCCGCGUGAGUGAAGAAGGUUUUCGGAUCGUAAAGCUCUGUUGUAAGAGAAGAACGAGUGUGAGAGUGGAAAGUUCACACUGUGACGGUAUCUUACCAGAAAGGGACGGCUAACUGCGUG
rnacentral:rRNA from 1 species